AUUGAACGCUGGCGGCAUGGAUUAGGCAUGCAAGUCGAGCGAGAAGUGUAGCAAUACACGGAAAGCGGCGGAAGGGAGAGUAAUACGUGGGAAUCUGCCCUUAGACCUGGGAUAGCAGCGGGAAACUGCUGGUAAUACCAGAUAAUGUCUAUGGACCAAAGGUGUGAUUCCGUCUAGGGAUGAGCCCACGUCCUAUUAGCUAGUUGGUAGGGUAAUGGCCUACCAAGGCGAUGAUGGGUAGCGGGUGUGAGAGCAUGACCCGCCUCACUGGGACUGAGACACUGCCCAGACACCUACGGGUGGCUGCAGUCGAGAAUCUUCGGCAAUGGGCGCAAGCCUGACCGAGCGAUGCCGCGUGCGGGAUGAAGGCCUUCGGGUUGUAAACCGCUGUCGAGGGGGAGCAACUUCCAUAGAGUUAUCUUUAUGGAUUGAGUGAUCCCUGGAGGAAGGACGGGCUAAGUUCGUGCCAGCCGCCGCGGUAAAAC
rnacentral:rRNA from 1 species